rnacentral:misc_RNA from 1 species
AAGUCGUAACAAGGUUUCCGUAGGUGAACCUGCGGAAGGAUCAUUACCGAGUUAGGGUCUUCCUCUAGGCCCGACCUCCUUACCUCUGUUUACCUGACCUCACGUUGCUUCGGCGGGCCCGUCCCCUUAACCAGGCGACCGCCGGAAGGGCUCACCCCUUCUGGGCCGUUGCCCGCCGAUGGCCCUCAAACCAAAACACUUUUAAACUGUGGAAUUUAGUCUGAAUCUUGUUUCUAAAAUAACCAAAAACUUUCAACAACGGAUCUCUUGGUUCUG